ensembl:snRNA U6 U6 spliceosomal RNA
GUGCUCGCUUUGGCAGCACAUAUACUAAAAUUGGAACGAUACAGAGAAGAUUAGCACAGCCCCGUGUGCAGGGAUGACAUGCAAACUCGUGAAGCAUUCCAUAUUUUA